rnacentral:rRNA from 1 species
CCUACGGGAGGCAGCAGUGGGGGAUAUUGCACAAUGGGGGGAACCCUGAUCCAGCGACGCCGCGUGAGUGAAGAAGUAUUUCGGUAUGUAAAGCUCUAUCAGCAGGGAAGAAAGAAAUGACGGUACCUGACUAAGAAGCCCCUGCUAACUACGUGCCAGCAGCCGCGGUAAUACGUAGGCGGCAAUCGUUAUCCGUAUUUACUGGGUGUAAAGGGAGCGUAGACGGCGAUGCAAGUCUGAAGUGAAAGGCGGGGGCUCAACCCCCGGACUGCUUUGGAAACUGUAUGGCUGGAGUGCAGGAGAGGUAAGUGGAAUUCCUAGGGUAGCGGUGAAAUGCGUAGAUAUUAGGAGGAACACCAGUGGCGAAGGCGGCUUACUGGACUGUAACUGACGUUGAGGCUCGAAAGCGUGGGGAGCAAACAGGAUUAGAUACCCCAGUAGUC